CAAUAGCGUAUAUUAAAGUUGUUGCAGUUAGAACGCUCGUAGUCGGAUUUCGGGGCGGGCCGACCGGUCUGCCGAUGGGUACGCACUGGUCGGCGCGUCCUUCCUUCCGGAGACCGUGCCUACUCUUAACUGAGCGGGGGCGGGAGACGGAUCGUUUACUUUGAAAAAAUCAGAGUGUUUCAAGCAGGCAGCUCGCUCUUGCAUGGAUUAGCAUGGGAUAAUGAAAUAGGACUUUGGUGCUAUUUUGUUGGUUUCGAACACCGAAGUAAUGAUUAAAAGGGACAGUCAGGGGCACUCGUAUUCCGCAGAGAGAGGUGAAAUUCUCAGACCCGCGGAAGACGAACCACUGCGAAAGCAUUUGCCAGGGAUGUUUUCACUG
rnacentral:rRNA from 1 species